rnacentral:lncRNA from 1 species
UCAGAUCGUCCCUUGCUCGAGUCAAUUUGUGCAAUUCAGUCUCCAAGACCCGAAGAUUUUUUUCGAGACCCCAUACAUAUUUUGCUUGUUCACCAACGCAGUUUGAAGUUCGAUCAAAUAAGUCUGCUGGUAAGAAGGUUGAGAUUAAGUUACCCAUUGUCGUUGACGAAAAGAGGAAGAGAAGCAAUGAGUACAAUGAAAAGAAUUAUGCUGCUUUGGAGAGGGUUAUAUUUGGAGAAGCACAAUACCGAAAUAAAAAUAUGAUACAUUUGUUGCUUUAUAAUUCAUAUGUCAAAUAUCGCGAACAUAAUGAUACGUUUACACGUCAUAUAAAAUUUGUAAUUCAUUUCAGUAAUGACAGAAUUAAUAUUAAAUCUUAUCAUUUAUUAUUUAAGUGAUAAAUUUAUAUUGAGAAUAUUUAUUUAGAAUAAAAAUUUUGUGCCUUUACUUUGGAUGAAGAUUCAAAAUAUUAAGUCAAUGAUAGCUAGAUAAAAAAAUAAAAUAAAAUAAAAUAAAUUUUAACAUAAAUUUUUUAUUUAAUAAAAAAUAAAUUCAAUAUAAAAUUCUAAUCCCUUAGAUUUACAAGUGCAAUCAUUGAUGAUGUAAAGAAUUAUUAUUUUUUUGGUUAAAAUACUAAGAUAUGGACAGUCAAUCAUUAGCCAUAUGGAUUCAAUUUCUUGAUCGACCAAAAACCUUGUUUCGACUGAAAUCUAUACGUGCAAGUGAACAUAAAUGAACAAGCUUUCAUCUGGAUUUACAGAGUGUGAAGUAAAUGGUGCGCGGUUGGAGGGGGGGGGAGCUUAAAUGGCAUGUUUUAUUCAAACGAUGCUGCAACUGCAGUUCUUAGUAGUUGGAUUCAGAAAACUAAGCUUCGAUAUCAUGACAUAACAAAAGAUGCAAUAAAAAUUGCACGGACAUAAUAGUUGUCAUGCUUCCAUAACAACGUUACCAAGUCGGUAAAAGCUAGGAAUAACAAAACACAUAAAAGUAGUUUCAUAUUAGAGAAUAUCUGAAUUUCCUGGUUGGUGGAGUUUCUUUGAUGAUCUUGUUCGAAAGCUAAUACCAUUCAACUCUAAAAUGUACCUCAAAGUAUCAAUCAUCUCAAUUAACUAGCCACAAAGUUUCCUUAGCUUGCCACAGUUCAGUUGUAGCAAACUACCAAAGCCCAUUUGACAAGCAGCCACUCUUUGUUCAUCUGUCAGCUGUGAAAGUGCCACCGCUAAUCUAUCUGGAGUCCAUCUGGUUAAGAACUUUGCCUUUGCGACUGCUGACUUCACUAUUCGUUCGCAUUGACUUUGUAUUGACAUUUUUUACCCGGCGGUAAAUUCUUAAACAUGGAUUCAAUUUCCGUCCAGUACACAAUCAUGGCAAAUAAACUAACUACGCCUUCACUACUUGAAAAUACAAAUUUAUUUUAUUUGUAACGCAAGUCAUUCCAUCGCUUGCCUUAACCUCACGCACGGCUUCACCGCUGCAAUAUCAUCAUAUGACUGCGAAAUUAUAUAUCUCUAUAAUUUUGUGAUGCAUAUGCAUUUUGCUUUUCAUGCCCUUGCAUUACUGAGCUGAUUUAUAUUCUCUGCUUGCAGUUUCAUUCACUAAUAUCCUUUAAUUGUUGUCAACGUCUUCUGGUCUAUAUUUGAUGAGCAUAGUAAAUACCUACUUUUGAUGCUCCAUAUACAAGUAUUAUCAGUCUGUUGCAAAUAGAUGUUUAUCACUAAUGUUGAAAUCGUAAAAUUUUAGACAUACUAGAACCUAAAAUCAAUGAUCCAAAGAGCCAUCGCCGUUUUUUGGAGCAGUUCUUGCAAUAGAUUCCCACUGUGGUUUUGAUUAAUUUGGUCAUGAUGCUUGUGUGCAGUGAUACUGGUAGGAAAGUUGAUGAUCCUGAGGUGCUUGAGGCAAUUCGUUUGACAGUUAUAAACAAUCUACUUCAGUAUCACCCAGUAAUCAUUUUUUUGUCUCUCUUGAGAUAUAACUUGGUGGAGCACCUGUAGGAAUUGUCUUAUUGAAAAGCUUAUUCCAUUUGUGUUGGUGUUGGAAUCAGGAAUCAAGUUCCCAGUUUGCAAUGGGUGUUGCCUUUGGCGUUGAUCCUCCAAAACAACAGGUUUUUGCUUUCUGGUCUUAUUUUGAUUUUUCAGAUUAUUGAUAUUUUUGGCUCUUCUCAGUAGUGGAUCAUUUGAAUAGGAAACUAAGUUGUUUUUAGAGUUCUCUUAGGCCAAAUAUUACUUCACUUUUAUCCUCAUUUUAUUUAAAGACAUUAUAUUCAAUUUGCCUGCCAUUGAAAUUAAUAUCAUGUUGUCAUGAAUGUUAAAAACUAUGCAUAUGAGUUAUUAUGGGAAGGAUAAUGUCCCACUUCAAUCUUGUCUCAAAUCUUGUUGUGCUGGAAUUUGUCAGGUUGAUGUGGACAUAGCAACCCACAUAAGCAUCUAUGAUGAUGGCCCCAACCGAAGGUAAUGCAUAAUUCAUUCUCUUAUCUAGAUGAUGGGGCUUUUGCUAUCCACCAAACUUUGGUCCCACACUAUUACUACUCAUACUCCAGCCCAAGUGGCAAUUUCCUGCCCAUAACUGAAGUAGUCAGAUAAUUUGGCCCUUACUAUUUUUGUUUAUUUUACCUUUUGUUUUAUUGAAGUUUGCUUUUGGUGGAGACGGCUGAUCGACCUGGAUUAUUGGUGGAUCUUGUAAAGAUUUUUACUGUCAUCAAUGUCAAUGUUGAAUCGGGAGAGUUUGAUACUGAGGUAGUGAGGUAAUCUUUUAUAACAAACUCUAUAUAUAUAUAUAUUGACAAAAGAGUGGCCUUCCCUUAUAAAUAUAUUUUGUUCUAAUUUUUGUUUUCGCACCCAGGAGUUGUUGGCUAAGGCAAAGUUUCAUGUCAGCUACAAGGGUGAAGCCAUUAUCAAGCCUCUCCAACAGGUAAAAACAACAGGCCUACAUAUAGGACAUCGGAAAUUGCUUUAUAGAUUGUUUGCUCUGAAGAAUAAAGAGACUUACCAUUUCUACUCAAAAUCGGUAUUCUAGUUGCAAAACUGUUCUUAUAUAAAAGAUUUGAAUUUAAACUUUGAAGUGGGCGGUAAGAACAUUAACGUGCUAAUGAUCACACGGUGCACCUGAAGGCUUGGACGAUCGUUGAUGUACUGAUUAGACUUUGCUUGAUCAAAUUUGCAGGUUCUUGCUAACAGUUUGCGAUAUUUCUUGAGGCGACCAACAACCGAGGAGGCAAGUUUUUGAGCUCUUGUUGAAGACUCCACCAACCAAAUUCAGGAUUACACACACUUGAUGAAUUUUUUUAUUUCUCUCCCCAGUAAACAUUCACAAGGGGAAUUACAAUAUGUUGUCUCCCUAAUCUCCUUACAUAAAAUAAAUAAAACAUGAGAUAUAUAUAAACGGACAACAUUUUAAUGAUAUAUCAUAUGGUAAACACUUAUAAAAUAGAAACCUUGCUAAUUUUAUCAUCCUCAUCAAUUCAUAGUCCUUUUUAAAUAAUUUUCAAGUUUAGGGAUAUGAUAUAGCUGUGUUGUAUUACUCAUAUUAAUCUUAAGCCUAAAGUUUGCAAUGGGUUGAUGAGCAUACAACCUUUUUCUAUUCAUGGAUUAAAAUAAUAAUAAUAUUAUUAUUAUUAGUUUUUUUUUUUUUUAUGUGAACCUUAGUUUACAUCCUAAAUUUUCCUAUAUCAACAUUUCAUUCCAGUACGCAAACAAGAUACAUCACUAUGGUUUCUUUAAUUUCAUUCUGUUUUCAUGCUUUGAAAAUUAGCGUCAUGACAUUGAUUCAGCAACUUUCACAAAACAGAAACAUAAAGGAGAUUUUUACCAUGUGGCUUUGGUGCAUUGGUCAUCAAAAUCUGCACAAUUAAUUAUAAAGAAUAUACGAUGUUUGCGCGUGCAAUUAUGAACGACUCAUCUUAUAUCAACUUAAGGGCAAAAUUAUUUUAAAAUCUCUUUGUAUAUAUGUUACAAUGUCAUUAAUUUUUUUUGUCAAUGGUCAUAGUUUAUUUAAUUGGCUACCAUUUUUAAGUUUCUUAUGACAGUUAACGGGUGAGGUAAAUCGAACACUUAAUUUUUUUAUAUUUAUAUCGUCAAUGGUGGAUUCAAGAAAAUAAUUUAUCGAUGACUAAAUUAUAUGACGACACGAUUCGAAAACUCAAAUUUUAUAGGUUUAAUAAAAACUAAAUUAAAUAAUAGUAAACCACCUAUAUGGGUUACCUCAUAACUUUUUAUAUUUUAAUUAAAGUGUGGUUUUUGUAAUUCUCAAAAUUAAAAUUUUAUAAAUUUUGAAUUUAUAAGACUAUUUUUAUAAAUUUAACUUGCCUAUUUUAAUAUAUUCAACAGAAUUAAUUAAUAACUCAAAUAUUUUUUUUAAUUAUUCUCUCUGUCCCACUAAUCAUGAGGUGAAUCCACCUCUAUAUCUCAUUUUAUAUUGUGUAAUCUCGUUAUGACUAAAAAGUACCUCCCUUAGAUUCAACUACUUAUCUAGGGAAAGUUUUUAAAAGCUGAGUCCACAAGCCAUGUCCCAUAACUUAGAUGACUGAAAAACAAAAACAAAACAAAAGGGAACAAAAGAAGGCCAUGCGGCCCAUGCUCUGCAAUGAGUGCUCCCUAAUGAUCAAGAAAGAGUAUUAUAAUUUAAUAUUUAUCCAAACAGAAAAUGACGUACACGGGAACAAUAAAUGAUCUCCCUAGAGAUGAGAGAAAUGGAUAACAAUAUUCUCUUAUUUAACUUCACUAUAUAAAGAGCUCUCUAUCAAAAUCAUAAUUCAAUUCAUUCCACCCACAUUGUUUGGAAAGAGAGAAAGUGAGAGAAAAAAGAAGGAAAAUAUGACAGGAUCAUUUGCUAGAGGAGCUCCCACCUUUAACUCCAUGUUUUUCAAGUAAUGUUUUCAUUAUCUAUCUACUUUGCUAUUUCAUCAUUUCAUUUUGACAAUCGCACUUCAUUAUUGCAUGGUAUGUUUGUAAAUAAAUGUUUUCACUUUAUCUAAAUUAAUUUUGUUAUGAAACAGUUCGUUCGAAAUAGGCCUAAUAGUUUCAAAUUAUUUAUUUACUAAUUAUGAGUGGUUGGUUAAGUACAUAGAAUUAAAUGUUUUAUUAACUGAACCAAUAUGUCUCCACAGGGGCCUCAGGUUAAAAAAAAUUAUCAAGAAAUAUGAAAGUCUUCAAUUAAAUUUGUCUCUGUGUCUGAUAAUUUUAUUUUGUAGCCCCCAUAUGUUUAUAUUCUUGUGGUAUAACCUACUUAAAAUUUGUUGUUUCUGUAUGAUUGAUGACAUCCAAAAUCCUGAUUUCGCCACUGUCCACGCAAUAAUAAAAAGAGAUUGCUUUCAUUCAUUUGAGUGUUUGAAUAUUUUACUCUUUGUUUUUGCAUUAUUAAUUUGUUGAGUCUUUUUGAAACAUAUAGGCCAAUGAUGAGGAAAUCCUUUCAAAAGAAAACAAGUUCUUAUGAUAUGAUGAGAGAAACAACAUUGAAAUCCAAUGCAGAAGAAGGAAAUGUGAUGAGGAGCCAACAGUUGAAUAAUAAUGUGGGAGAAAAUGAAGGGAAUUGUGGUUGGGUUCCUCAUGAAAGAACUGGGAUUUAUUACCCAAAAGGCCAUGAAAAAGUUAUUGACGAUGUUCCUCCUAGCGCUGGAAGAGAUUUUGAAGUUAAUUGGUUCUCAGAAACUCAUGGAUAAUUUAUGGAUAUGUUUUUUUUUUUUCAAAUUACUACACAUGCUUAAAGCGAAAAGGCUUUCUAUUGUCUCAAAGCAAAAUCCGAUUGUGAAAAAAAAAAUUAAAAUAAAAUAACAAUAAUGGAAAAUGAAAUCAUUUAGAUUCAGCUCAAUGCUAAGCAUUCCAAAAUUUAAGUUUCAAAAGAUAUGACAAUCAUUUAUUAGAUGGUGGUUAAAUAAUUUUACAAGUUAUGAAAUCUAUCGUCUAAUAAAUGAAUAACGUGUGACUUUUAAGACUUAAGAAGUUAAGACUAAAAAAUUAGGAUCUUAAUAUUAUUCUUACUUUUAUAUCAUCUUUUUAUUUAGGUCUAUUGUUUAUUGUCGUCUGAUUCUUCAAGCUAAAUGUACAAAACUACAAAUGGAUUAGGUGGGCCUCGCAUGGGCUUAAUUUUUUGUUAUGGCUCAUGAGUGGUCCUAUUGGUACCCCUAAAAAACCUUCUCAAACCCUUCUUUUAUAAUCAUGCAUUUGUCCCUAUUUAAAUUUACAAUGAUAAACAGAAGAAAUUAAAUUUUAUUCAAAUAACUAGUCUCCAUAAUUACAAUCAUGUGAAACCAAAACUCGACUUAACAAUUUAUUAUUUAUUUUGACGAUAUUUAGUUGACAUUCCUUGUUUAUCAAAGCACAAUGUAUUUUCUUAAAUUUUGAUAAAAUUUUAAUUAUUUUGUUAUUAUUAUUUAAGAUGAAACCUUAAAAUAUCAAUAACCAAUGUUGGAUGUUGUUAUAAGAAAUUCUAAUGAAAAUAUUAUGGAAAUAGCUUUUAAAAUUAUAAGUUCUAAUGGAGAUAAUGAUUAUUCGAAAGUUGAUGCCAUCAGAUUUGGGUUUCAAGCUCCCCAAGACGAAGAAAAUGUGAAAAUGGGGUUGGUGUGUAAACCAAGGGUGUUUUUGGAAUCAACUUAUGUGGGUUUAGAAAUCGAGUGAGGCUAUAUACACUCUAAAAAUUACACUAAACACCAUAAUUUUAUAAAAAAAUUUAUUUCAAUAAUAUUUAUGGUAUAAAUUAUUAUUAAGGACAUGACAAUUAUUAAUUUUUUUUGUAUGACUAUAAUUACUUCUUUUUCAGUUAUAUUAUGAUGAUAUUAAACAAGUUUACAUUGGUUGCUUGAUUUUUUCUUUUGGCCAAAAAAUACAUGUCAUUCCACAAUACCAGAGUAACAUGGACAAUUAUUCAGACUCUUACAAACUAGUCUGCAACUGAGGCAUUACAACCCAGCAAACAUUUUUGCGACAUAAAAAUGUUCAGACAAAUCCAGAUUAAAAAAAAAAGGGCUUAAUUUACCAUCCUCUUUUGACAAACUUUGAAUUUUCUGACAUUCAAUUGGAGGUGGAAGUGGCAUCAUAGUUGUACUGAAGAAGAUCGUCAUAAGGGUCCCAGGCACCUACUCUGAAUCAUUCUUUCUUGUCCCUCUCUUUCAAGUCCUCCAUCAACCUCAAAAUCAUAUUCUCAGCAAUUAAAAAUUUCAUCUUCACUUCUCUUCUUGAUUCUAAGCUCAGAACUAUGAAGCGCAAGCUGCGUCUUUUAUUUAGCUAAAUGAUAUAUUGGUUAAUUGAUUUAUUUGUUCGGAUUAUAAUGUUUAUUUCUCACGAUCUUUUCAUUGGUGAAAUUUUUUGAUGGAUUUUUUUAGUUGCUCCUUUAUCAUUCUUCAUUUAUUGGAGAAAUAUAUUAUACAACCAAAUAAUUAAAUUUUAAUGAUAAAAGAGUGUUUAGAGAAAUAUUUUGAAUAUGUAAGGCGUUUUCAUGAGUGUGUUAGAGUAAAUUAAUUUAAAAAGGAUUAAAUGAGUACAUUUUUGGUACUUUAAGGAAUGUACAAAAUAUAGUUCAUUUUUUUAAAUUAAUAAAUAAGUGUAUAUAGUAAUAAAACUUUGAGAAUAAUUUUUAGACUACAAAUAACUCUGCCCUUAGAAAUAAUAUUAUUUUUUGAAUGAUUUAGUGGGCAUAUUGAAUAAAGAUUUUUAUGAGGGCUUUCAAAGGUGCGAUAGUUCUACUCAUGACUCAUUUUUCUGCUAUUAGGAUUUACUCUUUGUUUCGUACUUUCAUUUGAGUGGAGCUCUCUCUGUCUCUCUCUCUCUCUCUUUGGAAAUGGAAAGCUUCAAUCAAUCACUUCAAGGAAAAAGACUUACAUGAGUUGAAAUUUCCUCCAGCCAAAUUACACGGCCCGAAUUGUUAACAUCAUAUUUAUCUAAUUUAUGAGCGGUCUCACUACUACUGCUCAGUAUAAGAUUGAUUUUGAAGUGGUCUUUCACAACCAUACAAUUUCGAAUCUCGAAAAUUAACCAUGAUAUUUCUUUCAUACUUCUUUCAAAACCUUUCGCCAAGUUUAAAAUAGUCUUCGAGUCUGAUUCAACAAUUAAUGGCAUUAAACCAAAGUCUAUUGCCAUUUUUAUUCUAAAAUUCAUAUCUUCAGCUUUAGCAUAUUCAACGUCCCCAUGAAAAUCUAUAUUCUGAAUUCCUACACUCCAAAAUCCUUAUAAAGCUUGUUUUAAUUUUUAUUUAUCAAAGUACCUUGGUUUAAUUUAUAAAAUACUAAUCCAUAAAUUAAAAUUAAUAAUCUUCUCAUUAAAUUUCACCUUAAAAAGAUUAUAAAUUAUUAAAAGUUUCUAAAAAUUAUAUAUAUAUAUAUAUAUAUAUAUAUGAAAUGAGGUGGGUGGAAAAAUGUUAAAAGAAUAAUUUUAUUUAAGUAUUAAUUAAAUUUUCAAUCAAAAUAAAAAUGGAAUUAAUUUAUCUUUAAUUAUUUAAAUAAUUUUAAUUAAAGAGUUAUAAGGAAUUUAAAGGAGGGUCUUAUAGGGGGUGUCAAAAGGCUGCGAUCUAAUGCUUCCGUUCAUCACAAUCUGCUACUGCGAUUGAUCGCGAUCUGCAGCCGUGGUCGCGCUCGUCCUGUCGCCGUUUGUCGUCGCGAUCUGUUACCUUCGGUGAAGAGGAGCACAAUGUUUGUUUUGGGAAUUAUAAUUUUAUAUUUUAAAUUAUUAAUUUCUUAUAUUGUUUGGCCACUGAUUGUACAUUAAAAUUAUAUAGAUUGGUGUUUGUAUUAUUUCAUUGUUUGCUUAUUUGUUAUUAAUGUUAUUAUUGUUUAUUAUUAUUAUUAUUAUUAUUAUUGUAGUAUUAGUAGUUGUUAUUUAAUUUCAUUAUUAUCAUUAAUUAUUACUAUUAUUUAUUUAUAAUGUUAUUAUUAAAUUUAUUAUUAUUAUCAUUAAUACCAAAGGACAACUAUUAUUAUUAUUAUUAUUAUUAUUAACAACUAAGGGCGUUUUAGUAACUUAAAACAACUUAACAUAUUCCGAUUCCGAUUCUUAGAUAAAGUAAACACAUCAAUGGGGUUUUAACUCAUUCCGAUUCCAAUUCCGAUUGCUACAGUUUAAGUAAACAACUUAUUUUGAUUCUCAUUCCUCAUUUUCAUUCCGAUUCUAACCCAUUCCGAUUACUGACAAGUAAACGCAUUAUAAAGGAAAGGAAAAAAAAUUAAUUAUUUUUUUUACCAAAUAUAAUUAUAACAAAUUAACUAAAUAUUUACUAAGAGUUCAGCAUCUGAGUUCCCAAUCCAUAAAUAUGCCAGCAUUUUAAAACAAACAAGACUUAAGCGACAAAUACAAUUUUGUCGACGAGUAUAAAGGUCGCAUUAUAAGCCAAAGGCGAGCAGUUAAGAGAAGAUAAAAUUUUACCGUAUUAAACUUGUAAUUGUGGAUGCCUGGCCUGGUGUUAAAAAGGAUUUAGAGCCACAAAAAGUUUUUGACCAAACCAAAAAGAAGUAGCAAAGCAAAAAAAGGAUAAUAGCAAAGCAAUAAAUCUACAAGUCAUCACAAUCAUGCAACUCUAUAGCAAGAAAAAAAGAAAAAGAAAAAGGAAAUACAUAUUCAAACAUAUUAAUAAUAAGGAUCCUCCCAAAGUACGGCACAGGAAAAGAAAGCAUUUUGGGUGGCUUGUUCCUCCCAUUGUAGCUCUUCCCACCAUUUUUUCGUUCCCUCGAUGACAACUCGACGUCCCUUCGCGCUGCUGGAAUUGAGUGGGAGCUUCUUCAGCUGUCGGCAAUGAAAUACUUGAAUUUUCUUCAGCUUUGGAAAGGGCAGGGGAUUCGGGUAAACGCUCUUUAAAUUUGUUCCCCGCCACAUGGUUAGAUAUUCGAGUCGUGCGAAAAAGUUAUGCUCUGACCUGAUUAUCUCUGAAAUAUCACUCAAUUUAUCAACACUGAUUAUUUCUUCCAUAGUAAAACCCUGCAUAUUUAGCUGCUCGAGGUUUUGAACAAAAACAAGCCACGUUAAGUCCUUCCCUCUGCAAGACCUUAGGACAACUGUGUUAAGACUGCGGAAACCAUUUCGAAAAAGUUUCUUUACCUCUUCUGUGCUGUCAAUCUUCAUCUCUUCCAACUUAGAGGAUUCAAGUUCUAACUCCUGAAGAUUCUCCAUGUAUGCCAGAUGUAAGACAUUGAACGGUGGCCUUGUAUACGUGCCACAUUCAACCCAUACAGAUUGAGUGAUGCUCACCAGCUUUGGAUAUUUCAAAAACUUUUGGACAGCAAGUGAACUUCGGAAGGACCAGCUUAAAACAUUUAAAUGCUUCAAACCCAGCAAUUCCUUCAUCAAAGGUUCAGCAUCAUCACAUAGAACGUUACCUUCUUCUUCUUCUAUUACGCUCCAGCGACCGCGCGAAAGCAACCUGAGUACCUCCAACUUUGAAAAGCCAGAUAUCAACUGAGGUGGAAUUAUAGACAAAAACCGUGUAUGGUCCAAGUUCAAAUAUCUCAGCUUCUCCAAUGCCUUCAGCUCUUGCGGCAACCCAGUUAUAUUAGUCCGUGAUAGAUCAAGAUGAUGCAAUGAAACCAAAUUUGAAAUCCCUGAUGGUAGUUUACUUCGGGAAAGAUUUAUUCGUAGACUUAAUACUCUAAGAGAAGACAUCGAUUGAAAGAAGCCAUCAGUAAUCUCCUCAAUCCAAGUUCCAUCCAGAAGUAAAGUGACGAGACGUGGACACGUGGGAAUUUCCGAUAGGCUUUGAAUUCUAGUUUUCAUCAGAGAUAUCCGAUUGGCACCUUCCCAUUCUUCAACCUUUGGUGCUUCGGUCAGUUUAACUCCAGCGCGAACCAGAAAGUUCUGCUCCUCCUUGUCUACCGUGCACGCUAUCCAUAAUGACAUCUCACGAAUCAUAUCGUGCAUCUUUACAUGAUCAUCGCCUUCUUCCUCCAAUAAGCAUGCUUGAAGAAGGUCAUCAAUAAAAUCGCAUCCAUCAUCAAAAUCACACACAAAUCCUUCACUAAUCCAGUAAUCAAUCAAUUCCCUUCUAGGAAUUUCGUAGUCUUCAGGAUAUAAGCAACAAUACAGGAGACAGGAACGAAGUUCAUCCGUAGACAAACUAUCAUAGCUGAACUUUAAACGCGAAAACACCUCUUCUUUCAUACCUGAGAAUUUAGAAGCUGAUGUUGUCAUUUUGUGAAUUGCACGUUUCCAAUCUCCAACUUUCCUUUGGCUUUUCAUGGCUCGACCCACUGUUUUAAGCGCUAGCGGCAACCCACCACACUCUCUUGCCAGGGUUUCGGCUAGCUCUGGAAUACUGGUAUGACUGUCAAGAGUGGAUCUGUCGACCAUCUCCUGAAAUAAGUCCCAGGCUUUAUCAUGCGCCAAACUAUACACUUCCACCUUUUCAGCGUCCAUUUGAUCGCAAACACCAGCUGAACGAGUUGUCAAGACUACUUUGGACCCAUCAUUUAGUUUUUGAAGAGGGACACCCAAUUGUGUUAAAUCAAUGCGUUCCCAUAUAUCAUCCAAUAACAACACAAACUUCUUUCCGCUUAAAAUUCUAGCGAUGUCCGCAGCCUUGUCUCGAGGACUUUUUUUCUCCCAGCUUUGGUCUUCUGAAAAGCCAAUCCUUUUUCCAAUGUCAUCUUGAAGUGUUGACACAGCCGCCCAGAUAACAACAUCAAACAUAUGCUGUUGAUAGCGGAAGUUGUUGUUGACUUGUUUUAAAAGGGUAGUUUUGCCGACUCCCCCUAUACCAUACAAGCCGAUAAUUCCCCUGUUCUUUUCCUGAUCAGUGAUACAUCUCCAAACUUGAUCAAGUAAUAGUUUUUGACCAACAACUGUGUGAUCAAGAGGUAAUUCAAUUGCUGCACCAUCUGGCGCCUUCUCAACAACGACUUCAAUUUUUUCUCCGUCUUUCUUUAAAUUGAUCACUCGAUCCGUCAACUCGACCACCUGAGUCCCGUAAUUGUAGCUUGAAACGAAGUUUUUGGAACAGAGGCCUCCAAGGCACAAUCUAUCCAUUUCUUGAGCUCUAACUCGUUCGAGCUCGGUAAAUUCAGUUUCCAGUUUUUGCACAUCUUCAAGCCACCCUGCGACCUGGUUCGUUCGUCUGGUUCGAGGUCGCUGUUCUUCGACCUCAACCUUGGUCUUCAGAUCGUCCCUUGCUCGAGUCAAUUUGUGCAAUUCAGUCUCCAAGACCCGAAGAUUUUUUUCGAGACCCCAUACAUAUUUUGCUUGUUCACCAACGCAGUUUGAAGUUCGAUCAAAUAAGUCUGCUGGUAAGAAGGUUGAGAUUAGGUUACCCAUUGUCGUUGACGAAAAGAGGAAGAGAAGCAAUGAGUACAAUGAAAAGAAUUAUGCUGCUUUGGAGAGGGUUAU